ACGCUGGCGGCGUGCUUAACACAUGCAAGUCGAGCGGAAAGGCCUUUCGGGGGUACUCGAGCGGCGAACGGGUGAGUAACACGUGAGUAAUCUGCCCUUGGCUUUGGGAUAACUACCGGAAACGGUGGCUAAUACCGGAUAUGACCAUGCUCGGCAUCGGGUGUGGUGGAAAGUUUUUUCGGCCAGGGAUGUGCUCGCGGCCUAUCAGCUUGUUGGUGGGGUAAUGGCCUACCAAGGCUUCGACGGUAGCCGGCCUGAGAGGGUGACCGGCCACACUGGGACUGAGACACGGCCCAGACUCCUACGGGAGGCAGCAGUGGGGAAUAUUGGACAAUGGGCGGAAGCCUGAUCCAGCAACGCCGCGUGAGGGAUGACGGCCUUCGGGUUGUAAACCUCUUUCAGUACCGACGAAGCGCCGAUGAUGGUGGUGACGGUAGGUACAGAAGAAGCACCGGCCAACUACGUG
rnacentral:rRNA from 1 species